AUAGUUUGACUGCAUUGUUUUAUAUGCAUAUAUAUUCUAUGGUAAAGAUAUUUUUCUAUGUGCGUCUUUUGGCAAUGGAAGGAUUUUCUGACGAUUGUUACUAAACAGCUACUGGAUGGUAGUAACUCAAGGGUGGGAUCUAUCAACAGAUAUGAUUUCAUUAUAGUCAUAUAUGGAUGAACGCUCUUUGGCUCCACGAACGAGGUGUAAUUGUGAUGUCAUUAGGAAGACUUAAAGUAAUCUUGACUUCAUUACGGGUAAUAGCAGUAGUAGUAUAGCUCUUGUCAGAUACACAAAAUUGCUGUUGAGUAAAAUGAAUUAGUUUAAUCCUAUACUGAUUUUGUGAAAAUGUUGUUUUAAGGUUACCUUAAUCCUAAAAUGAAAACCAGAAUUUAAAUUUUCCCAAGACAAUUUUGUAUUUGUAGAUUAUAACUGGAAUUGAAGUCUUUGCAUCAUAAAUUUGUAUCUAGGAUGGUGUAAAAUGGGCCAAAACAUUCAAACAAGAAGAGAUCGUGGAAGUAAAGUUUGAGAUUGUGAAAGUAAUUCAGAUUAUAUUUUCCUCCAUAUGAAAUUCGUCAAACUCUACACAAAUGGCAUGGAGACUGAAUGAAUUUGACGGGCCUAGCUCGUGGUAGGGGACCGGGGUUCAAGGCAGUCUCAUAGUAAAAAUGGCUCAUGGGGAUGACAGAUUCAAUUCAGCGUAAGAUCUUGGUCGCUGGUCGUGACGCCCAUGUAACGUCUCUCAGGAGUACCGGAAGUCACCUUGUUCUCAAUAAAGGAUGAAGUACAAUGGGCGAGAGAGAUUUCGUUCAACAAAAGCUUGUGGAAGCCACCAGGAUUGUGCAAGCUCAUCCAAUGAUUUUUUCUCCACCGGAUGAAACAUGUCAAAAAUUCCACAAAGGCGGCAUGAUGCAGACAACCUCAAGACGGAAUUUAAGCGUGAAAUUGCACAGAAGGCCCCUUCGAAAAGGAGUUUAGUAAAGUUUAGAGGUGCAAGCUGAUAAUGUUAAAACGCUCCUUCAGUCUGAUGAAAACCAGCAAGUCUGAACGGCAGGGAGAAAUUUCCAGUACAAAUAUAUUUAUUGGUAGCUCUACAACUGGAGGGUAUGGAAGCGGGAAGACCUGAAAAUGAUGUUGAAUGAACGGAGAUAUAAAAAAACAGGUAAAAUGGAAGAAGAAACGUGAAUACAGGAGCCUUAGGAAAUUUCGUAAAGGUGGUCGACGUGGAGGAAGAAAAAUAGGAAAUAAAGGCACUAAUGUGUGAAAGGGAAACGAGGUGGUCCCCGAAGAAGUUUGAGAGAAUGGUUAAAGUCACCGUUGAGGGAAAUAAUGUAGAAGAAUAAGAAUCUGAUUAAGUCAUCGUUGAGGAGAAAUAAUUUGUCACUGUAAAAGAGAUC